rnacentral:rRNA from 1 species
CCAAUAGCGUAUAUUAAAGUUGUUGCAGUUAAAAAGCUCGUAGUUGAAUUUCGGGAUCAAAUUGUCGGUCGUGCCUCGGUACGUACUGGUAUUAUUGGUUCCUCCCUUCUGACGAACCACGAUGUCAUUAAUUUGGUGUCAUGGGAAAUCAGGACUGUUACUUUGAAAAAAUUAGAGUGUUUAAAGCAGGCUCGCGCUUGAAUACAUUAGCAUGGAAUAAUGAAAUAGGACGUUUGAUUCUAUUUUGUUGGUUUCUAGGAUCGACGUAAUGAUUAAUAGGGAUAGUUGGGGGCAUUAGUAUUCAAUUGUCAGAGGUGAAGUUAUUGGAUUUAUUGAAGACUAACUACUGCGAAAGCAUUUGCCAAGGAUGUUUUCAUUAAUCAAGAACGAAAGUUAGGGGAUCGAAGACGAUCAGAUACCGUCGUAGUCUUAACCAUAAACUAUGCCGACUAGGGAUCGGAUGAUGUUAAUUUUUUAAUGACUCAUUCGGCGCCUUACG